rnacentral:rRNA from 1 species
UACAGAGGGUGCGAGCGUUGUCCGGAAUCACGUGGGCGUAAAGGGCGCGUAGGUGGCGCGACAAGUCAGUGGUGAAAGCUCGACGGCUCAACGUCGAGUCGGCCACUGAUACUGUUGGGCUUGAGCAACUGUAGAGGCUAAUGGAAUUCCGGGUGUAGCGGUGGAAUGCGUAGAGAUCCGGAAGAACACCGGUGGCGAAGGCGGUAGCUGGGCAGUGCUGGACAACUGAGGCGCGGACAGCGU